rnacentral:lncRNA from 1 species
CAAAAUAGGAAUUAUUUCCAACAAAAUUAUAAAAUAUAUUUCAUUAAUAUUAUAAUCAUCAGUACAAUCCUUUAUACAGCUUGUGCAUACAAAUAAGAGCCACCGGCCUUAUCAUCACCAAUGACCACAAAACUAAGAGUAAAUUACAAGUCAUCUUACAUUGCAAAGUUCUGAUCACGUCUACAACAUCACUGACCUUAUACUGUGAAUGAUAGGGAUGAUG